rnacentral:misc_RNA from 1 species
AACGCACAUUGCGCCCUCUGGUAUUCCGGGGGGCAUGCCUGUUCGAGCGUCAUUACAGCCCUCAAGCAAUGCUUGGCAUUGGAUCAGACUUCCCUUAGAAGGAAGUCGGUCCCAAAGACAUUGGCGGUGACAAGCGUAGCCUUGAAGCGUAGUGAUCUUACAAUCCGCUUUUCUAGGUACCUUGGCUACUUGCCUUGACCACAAUUUUUAUACCGGUUGACCUCGGAUCAGGUAGGGAUACCCGCUGAACUUAA